ensembl:snRNA U2 U2 spliceosomal RNA
AUCACUUCUCAGCCUUUUGGCUAAGAUCAUGUGUAGUAUCAGUUCUUAUCAGUUUAUAUGAGGACUACAUAUUAAAUUGAGUUUUAGAACAGGAGACAGAAGAGGGGCUUGCUCUGUCUGCUCCACACAUUGGGGACAGUCGUGGGCUGGAGGUUAGGGAACUGGCC